rfam:Callithrix jacchus chromosome 12, whole genome shotgun sequence
GCCAGGCAUGGUGGUGUGUGCCUGUAAUCCCAGUUACUUGGGAGGCUGAGGCAGGAUAAUUGCUUGAACCCAGGAGGUGGAGGUUGCAGUGAGCCAAGAUUGUGCCACUGCACUUCAGCCUGGGUGAUAGAGCAAGACUCUGUCUCAA